rnacentral:rRNA from 1 species
UACGAGUGCCCCAAGCGUUAUCCGGAAUUAUUGGGCGUAAAGGGCGUGUAGGCGGUUGUGUUAGUCUCAUGUCAAAUUCUUCGGCUUAACCGGGGGUCCGCAGGGAAAACGGCAAGACUAGAGGAUGUGAGAGGUGAAUGGAACUCAUGGUGUAGGGGUGAAAUCCGUUGAUAUCAUGGGGAACACCAAAAGCGAAGGCAAUUCACUGGCGCAUUCCUGACACUCAAACACGAAAGCGUGGGUAGCGAAUGGG